GCUUAACACAUGCAAGUCGAGCGCGCCCUUCGGGGUGAGCGGCAGACGGGUGAGUAACGCGUGGGAACGUGCCCUUUGGUUCGGAAUAGCCCUUGGAAACGAGGAGUAAUGCCGAAUGUGCCCUUCGGGGGAAAGAUUUAUCGCCAAAGGAUCGGCCCGCGUUAGAUUAGCUAGUUGGUGAGGUAAUGGCUCACCAAGGCGACGAUCUAUAGCUGGUCUGAGAGGAUGAUCA
rnacentral:rRNA from 1 species